rnacentral:rRNA from 1 species
CACUCCUACGGGGAGGCAGCAGUGAGGAAUAUUGGACAAUGGGUGGAAGCCUGAUCCAGCCAUCCCGCGUGCAGGAAGACGGCCCUAUGGGUUGUAAACUGCUUUUAUCUGGGGAUAAACCUACUUACGUGUAAGUAGCUGAAGGUACCAGAAGAAUAAGCACCGGCUAACUCCGUGCCAGCAGCCGCGGUAAUACGGAGGGUGCAAGCGUUAUCCGGAUUUAUUGGGUUUAAAGGGUCCGUAGGCGGACUGAUAAGUCAGUGGUGAAAUCCGACAGCUUAACUGUCGAACUGCCAUUGAUACUGUUAGUCUUGAGUAAGGUUGAAGUGGCUGGAAUAAGUAGUGUAGCGGUUAAAUGCAUAGAUAUUACUUAGAACACCAAUUGCGAAGGCAGGUCACUAAGUCUUAACUGACGCUGAUGGACGAAAGCGUGGGGAGCGAACAGGAUUAGAAACCCUUGUAGUCCCAUGAU